rnacentral:misc_RNA from 1 species
UUUUGGCGUGUAUGGGCAUGUUGGAUCCCUGCUCGGGCAGCGACGACAUCUCCUCCACGUCUCUUCAGUUUUUGGCGCGAGCGUUUGCUCGGCCGACGUCGGUUUCCUGUGCUGAAUACCUAUUUGCGAUGGCAUUAUGUCGGCUAUGUUUGUUCCCUUCCCACCUUGUUCCGCUGCUCCACGUGGGCGUGCGGUGCGGGGCGGGCCAAAUCGCGCGCGUCGUGUGUCGCACCGCGUUCGCCCCUUGGGGCGUUCGGGUUGUCGACCCACGACGUGUUGCUCGGUCUCUCGGGUACGGUGCAUCAUGUGGGUACGAGGCCAUCGGCCUCCGAGCACCACAAUCAAGCGUUCUACGCUUCGUGCGAACGACCGUCGGUUCGGUCUUUGGCCGUGCUCUCGCAGCUCGGUCCAAGUCGGGCUGACGUCGAUGAGGAAUGCUACCUGGUUGAUCCUGCA